rnacentral:rRNA from 2 species
ACGCUGGCGGCGUGCCUAAUACAUGCAAGUCGAACGAAACUUUCUUACACCGAAUGCUUGCAUUCACUCGUAAGAAGUUGAGUGGCGGACGGGUGAGUAACACGUGGGUAACCUGCCUAAAAGAAGGGGAUAACACUUGGAAACAGGUGCUAAUACCGUAUAUCUNUAAGGAUCGCAUGAUCCUNAGAUGAAAGAUGGUUCUGCUAUCGCUUNUAGAUGGACCCGCGGCGUAUUANCUAGUUGGUGGGGUAACGGCNUACCAAGGNGAUGAUACGUAGCCGAACUGAGAGGNUGAUCGGCCACAUUGGGACUGAGACACGGCCCAAACUCCUACGGGAGGCAGCAGUAGGGAAUCUUCCACAAUGGACGCAAGUCUGAUGGUGCCCGCCGCGAGAGUGAAGAAGGUCUUCGGAUCGUAAAACUCUGUUGUUAGAGAAGAACACGAGUGAGAGUAACUGUUCAUUCGAUGACGGUAUCUAACCAGCAAGUCACGGCUAACUACGUGCCAGCAGCCGCGGUAAUACGUAGGUGGCAAGCGUUGUCCGGAUUUAUUGGGCGUAAAGGGAACGCAGGCGGUCUUUUAAGUCUGAUGUGAAAGCCUUCGGCUUAACCGGAGUAGUGCAUUGGAAACUGGAAGACUUGAGUGCAGAAGAGGAGAGUGGAACUCCAUGUGUAGCGGUGAAAUGCGUAGAUAUAUGGAAGAACACCAGUGGCGAAAGCGGCUCUCUGGUCUGUAACUGACGCUGAGGUUCGAAAGCGUGGGUAGCAAACAGGAUUAGAUACCCUGGUAGUCCACGCCGUAAACGAUGAAUGCUAGGUGUUGGAGGGUUUCCGCCCUUCAGUGCCGCAGCUAACGCAAUAAGCAUUCCGCCUGGGGAGUACGACCGCAAGGUUGAAACUCAAAGGAAUUGACGGGGGCCCGCACAAGCGGUGGAGCAUGUGGUUUAAUUCGAAGCAACGCGAAGAACCUUACCAGGUCUUGACAUCCUUUGACCACCUAAAAAAUUAGGUUUCCCUUCGGGGACAAAGUGACAGGUGGUGCAUGGCUGUCGUCAGCUCGUGUCGU